rnacentral:rRNA from 1 species
GCACUGUUUCGGCUAGGGGGCCAUCCCGGCUUACCAACCCGAUGCAAACUGCGAAUACCGGAGAAUGUUAUCACGGGAGACACACGGCGGGUGCUAACGUCCGUCGUGAAGAGGGAAACAACCCAGACCGCCAGCUAAGGUCCCAAAGUCAUGGUUAAGUGGGAAACGAUGUGGGAAGGCCCAGACAGCCAGGAUGUUGGCUUAGAAGCAGCCAUCAUUUAAAGAAAGCGUAAUAGCUCACUGGUCGAGUCGGCCUGCGCGGAAGAUGUAACGGGGCUAAACCAUGCACCGAAGCUGCGGCAGCGAACGUAUCACUUAAAGCGAUUCAGCGGGUUACGAUUGACGGAGCGAAGCGACGUCAAAGCGUAUACAAAGUCGAGUCGGUUUAAGGAUACGUU